rnacentral:rRNA from 1 species
AAUGAACGCUGGCGGCGUGCUUUACACAUGCAAGUCGAGCGAGGCCACCCGCAAGGGUGAGUCGAGCGGCGAACGGGUGAGUAACGCGUGGAUGACCUGCCCUUGAAUGGGGAAUAACCCGGGGAAACUCGGGCUAAUACCGCAUACGACCGAGAGGUGAAAGGGGGCUCGCAAGGGCUCUCGUUCGAGGAGGGGUCCGCGUUCGAUUAGCUAGUUGGUAGGGUAAUGGCCUACCAAGGCGACGAUCGAUAGCCGGCCUGAGAGGGUGAUCGGCCACACUGGAACUGAGACACGGUCCAGACUCCUACGGGAGGCAGCAGUGGGGAAUUUUGCGCAAUGGGCGAGAGCCUGACGCAGCAACGCCGCGUGGAGGAUGAAGGUCUUUGGAUUGUAAACUCCUGUCAG